rnacentral:rRNA from 1 species
GACGAACGCUGGCGGCGUGCCUAAUACAUGCAAGUAGAACGCUGAAGAGAGGAGCUUGCUCUUCUUGGAUGAGUUGCGAACGGGUGAGUAACGCGUAGGUAACCUGCCUUGUAGCGGGGGAUAACUAUUGGAAACGAUAGCUAAUACCGCAUAACAAUGGGUGACACAUGUCAUUUAUUUGAAAGGGGCAAUUGCUCCACUACAAGAUGGACCUGCGUUGUAUUAGCUAGUAGGUGAGGUAACGGCUCACCUAGGCGACGAUACAUAGCCGACCUGAGAGGGUGAUCGGCCACACUGGGACUGAGACACGGCCCAGACUCCUACGGGAGGCAGCAGUAGGGAAUCUUCGGCAAUGGGGGCAACCCUGACCGAGCAACGCCGCGUGAGUGAAGAAGGUUUUCGGAUCGUAAAGCUCUGUUGUAAGUCAAGAACGAGUGUGGGAGUGGAAAGUUCACACUGUGACGGUAGCUUACCAGAAAGGGACGGCUAACUACGUGCCAGCAGCCGCGGUAAUACGUAGGUCCCGAGCGUUGUCCGGAUUUAUUGGGCGUAAAGCGAGCGCAGGCGGUUUGAUAAGUCUGAAGUUAAAGGCUGUGGCUCAACCAUAGUUCGCUUUGGAAACUGUCAAACUUGAGUGCAGAAGGGGAGAGUGGAAUUCCAUGUGUAGCGGUGAAAUGCGUAGAUAUAUGGAGGAACACCGGUGGCGAAAGCGGCUCUCUGGUCUGUAACUGACGCUGAGGCUCGAAAGCGUGGGGAGCGAACAGG